AACGCACAUUGCGCCCUUUGGCAUUCCGAAGGGCAUGCCUGUUCGAGCGUCAUUACACCAAUCACGCCUGGCGUGGUAUUGGGCGACGCGGCCGUCGCACGCCGCGCGCCCCAAUGACCCCGGCGGGACGGACCGAAUCUCAGCGUUGUGGUUAAAGCCGCUGGCGAGACGGGACGCCCGUGCCGUUAAACAACCCCAUCACAGGUUGACCUCGGAUCAGGUAGGGAUACCCGCUGAACUUAA
rnacentral:misc_RNA from 1 species